GAGGUUUUAGUAUAGUUAGUAUAUUUAAUUGCAGAUUAAAUGGUUUGUAACCUUU
rnacentral:tRNA from 2 species